UCGAGCGGGAUUUCUUUCUGUAGCAAUACAGGAAGAAGUCUAGCGGCGAACGGGUGCAUAACACGUGGGUAAUCUGUCUUAAAGUGGGGGAUAGCUCGGCGAAAGCCGGAUUAAUACCGCAUGUGAUUAGAGGAUACAUCUCUCCGACAUCAAAGGUGGCGCAAGCUACCGCUUUUAGAGGAGCCCGCGGCCUAUCAGCUUGUUGGUGAGGUAACGGCUCACCAAGGCGUUGACGGGUAGCUGGCCUGAGAGGACGACCAGCCACACUGGGACUGAUACUCGUUCUAUACACCUACGGGUUGGC
rnacentral:rRNA from 1 species